ACGAACGCUGGCGGCGUGCUUAACACAUGCAAGUCGAACGGAAAGGCCCUGCUUUUGUGGGGUGCUCGAGUGGCGAACGGGUGAGUAACACGUGAGUAACCUGCCCUUGACUUUGGGAUAACUUCAGGAAACUGGGGCUAAUACCGGAUAGGAGCUCCUGCUGCAUGGUGGGGGUUGGAAAGUUUCGGCGGUUGGGGAUGGACUCGCGGCUUAUCAGCUUGUUGGUGGGGUAGUGGCUUACCAAGGCUUUGACGGGUAGCCGGCCUGAGAGGGUGACCGGCCACAUUGGGACUGAGAUACGGCCCAGACUCCUACGGGAGGCAACAGUGGGGAAUAUUGCACAAUGGGCGGAAGCCGGAUGCAGCAACGCCGCGUGCGGGAUGACGGCCUUCGGGUUGUAAACCGCUUUCGCCUGUGACGAAGCGUGAGUGACGGUAAUGGGUAAAGAAGCACCGGCUAACUACGU
rnacentral:rRNA from 1 species